rnacentral:rRNA from 1 species
AAGCGACCCCAGUCAGGCGGAAC